AGUCGAGGGGCAGCAUGACUGUAGCAAUACAGUUGAUGGCGACCGGCAAACGGGUGCGAAACACGUACAGAACCUUCCUUCGAGCGGGGAAUAGCCCAGAGAAAUUUGGAUUAAUACCCCAUAGCAUAACGGAGUGGCAUCACUCUGUUAUUAAAGAUUUAUCACUUGAAGAUGGCUGUGCGGCUGAUUAGGUAGUUGGCGGGGUAACGGCCCACCAAGCCUGCGAUCAGUAACUGGUGUGAGAGCACGACCAGUCACACGGGCACUGAGACACGGGCCCGACUCCUACGGGAGGCAGCGGUAAGGAAUAUUGGUCAAUGGACGAAAGUCUGAACCAGCCAUGCCGCGUGGAGGAUGAAGGUCCUCUGGAUUGUAAACUUCUUUUAUAUGGGACGAAAAAAGGCUUUUCUAAGUCGUCUGACGGUACCAUAUGAAUAAGCACCGGCUAACUCCGUGCCAGCAGCCGCGGUAAUACGGAGGGUGCAAGCGUUAUCCGGAUUCACUGGGUUUAAAGGGUGCGUAGGUGGGUUGGUAAGUCAGUGGUGAAAUCUCCGAGCUUAACUUGGAAACUGCCAUUGAUACUAUCAGUCUUGAAUAUUGUGGAGGUUAGCGGAAUAUGUCAUGUAGCGGUGAAAUGCUUAGAUAUGACAUAGAACACCAAUUGCGAAGGCAGCUGGCUACACAUAUAUUGACACUGAGGCACGAAAGCGUGGG
rnacentral:rRNA from 1 species